rnacentral:rRNA from 1 species
UGGCGGCCAUAGCGCGGUGGNCCCAUGCCGAACUCAGAAGUGAAACGCCGUAGCGCCGAUGGUAGUGUGGGGUCUCCCCAUGCGAGAGUAGGACACUGCCAGGCA